rnacentral:rRNA from 1 species
UACGUAGGGCGCAAGCGUUGUCCGGAAUUAUUGGGCGUAAAGAGCUCGUAGGCGGUUUGUCGCGUCGAAUGUGAAAUCCCGGGGCUUAACCCCGGGCCUGCAGUGGAUACGGGCAGGCUGGAGGCAGGCAGGGGAGAACGGAAUUCCCGGUGUCGCGGUGAAAUGCGCAGAUAUCGGGAGGAACACCGGUGGCGAAGGCGGUUCUCUGGGCCUGUACUGACGCUGAGGAGCGAAAGCGUGGGGAGCGAACAGG